UUGGCAAGGGUGGCCCAUAGCAGUGGUUCAGUCAUGCUUGGUAACCACCUGCUUCUGUACUUUCUGGCCCCAUGUCCAUAUCAAGCAUCCCUCCCUGAGUCAUUCUUGAGCACCACCACCAAUGGACUGACAGCUACUCUGUGUCUUUCUUCUUAUCCCUUAACGCAGUAACCGAGGUCCUUCCUGUGGACCAGGCAGAGGAGACCGUGCCUGUUGCUGAGGAAGAGACUGCUGCUCUCUCCGAGACUGCGAUGUGGAGAGCUUUCUCAGCAGCAGCCCUGACGAGGAGGACUGUCCAGGCCUUCCUGUCAAUACCACUGAACACUAUUUCGAGUAUGUGGAGGACUCCGAAGAACCGAUC